rnacentral:lncRNA from 1 species
AACUCCCUUUCCUUGUUAUCUGAACUUCCAAACAUCAGCUUUGAUGUCUAUUGUUGGGACUUCAAGAGGACUCUUAGCACAUCGGCAGGUGUUGGUUUUAGUGAGCAGGCGAGAGUCCCACAUUCUUCCAAGGAGAGAGAUGGGUCCCACCACAUUCCUACCCCUAGAGCAGAAGUUCCCGCGCUGUGCCUCUUCUCUGGCUGCUUGCUGAGGACGUCUCCCAGUGGGGUACUGGGUGUACACCAGCUUUCCUUCCCGUCUUUCUGAAGCCUGUCUGAAGGGAUCUGUCUUCUUUCAGAGCAGCUGAAGAGAGGUUGUCUAACAGCCACGUAUUAAGGUUUCAUUAAUCAAAGACACUUCCACUGCCCCUUUACAGAAACACAACUGCUGUGGCUGUCCUCCGCUGACGGCCCGCUAAUUUGUCUUUCCCAGAGGAGGGGAGGGGAGAAGGACAGAGAGGCAGGCGCUGCCCCUACCCUGCAGUAGGGAUCUCCAUACUGGCUCCCAGCGAGCAUGCGUUCAUGUGCUAACUUUAGGGGACUGUGCCCGGGGCUUCACAUUUUCGUGCAGAGCCAUGGGCAGCUGGCUAUACCCCCUCCCCACCCUGUCCAUGAAGCAGGGAAUCAAAACCACUGGAAGCAAUUACUGCAGAUAGAUAGGUUUAGGUUGUCUUUUAUUUGCAAGAAAAUUUUCAUUUCAAGCUUCAAGGUUUUCACUCCCAGCUUCAAGGUUUGCUGAAAUUGGGGGCAGAAAGCUCUAGAAGAAAUAAGAAUAUGGGUACAUGUGUUUAAGUAUGCUUAAUGGACAGCCUCGGCGAAGUGAGGGGUGAUGGGGACAUUAAUAGCUGGGGAGCCACUGACCUGAAAUGGUACAGUCUUCCUGUAGUUACUGACGGAUGAAAUCAUGACUUUAUGAAAUUUUAAUCCUUGGGUAUAGAGGCACAACUGACUUUAUUACUGGACCCCAGGUGUGUGUGUCUGAAAUGAGUGUUUUGAAUCUAACUGCAUAUUUGAUUACUUUCUAAAAUCCACAGGGUCUAGAGAAAACAGAUUAGAGGUGUUUUUGAUUUUUGUUGCUGUUGUUGAGACAGAGGCUCGCUCUGUUGCCCAGGCUGGAGUGCAGUGGUGCGAUCCUGGCUCACCGCAACCUCCACCUCCUGGGUUCAAGUUAUUCUCCUGCCUCAGCCUCCCAAGUAG